rnacentral:rRNA from 1 species
AUGACAAAUGGCUAUGUCAAGAGCUGGAUGAAGGAGCUCAAAUCCAUCGCCUACAAGGCCGAUGACGUGCUCGACGACUUCCAGUACGAGGCGCUGCGCCGCCAUUCUAAGAACGGCAGGUCCACUUCCCAGAAGGUACAUGGCUAUAUCACGCGCCGCAGCCCGCUGCUCUUCCGUUUUGAAAUGAGCAGGAAACUCAAGACCAUCCUCGAGAAGACUAAUAAGUUGCUUGAGGAGAUGAACAAGUUUGGUCUGGAGAAUUCUGUCCAUCGGGAGGAGCCACAACAUCCUUGGCGGCAGACACACUCAAAACUGGACGACUCUACCAAAAUCUUUGGAAGAGAAUAUGAUAAGGAGGUGGUGGUGAAGUUGUUGUUGGACCAGCAAGAUCAGCAUAAGGUGCAGGUGUUGCCCAUCAUUGGGAUGGGAGGUCUUGGCAAGAUGACUCUUGCUAAGAUGGUGUAUAAUGACCAAGAGGUUCAGCAACAUUUCCAGUUGAAGAUGUGGCAUUGUGUGUCAGACAACUUUGAUCCAAUUGCUCUUUUGAAAUCCAUCAUUCAGUUGGCUGAAAAUAAAAGAUCUGACAUGCCUGACACCAUUGAGAUGUUGCGAAAGCAACUUGAGGGACUCAUUGGCCAAAAAAGGUUUAUUCUAUUUCUUGAUGAUGUGUGGAAUGAGAACAAAAGGAUAUGGGAGGAUGAACUGAAGCCUCUUUUGUGUUCUGUUGGUGGACCAGGAAGCAUAAUAGUCGUCACAACUCGAAGCCAGAAAGUGGCCUCUAUAAUGCAGACCCUUCGACCCCAUCAGCUAGAAUGUCUAAAUGAGCAAGAUUCAUGGGAAUUGUUUGCACAUAAAGCAUUUAGCAAUGGUGUAGAGGAGCAAGCAGAGUUAGCCAGCAUCGGAAGGCGUAUUGUCAAUAAAUGCGGGGGGUUGCUCUUGCUCUCAAGACAAUGGGUGGAUUGCUGA